rnacentral:rRNA from 1 species
GACAGAGGGGGCAAGCGUUGCUCGGAAUCACUGGGCGUAAAGGGCGCGUAGGCGGGAUGGCAAGUCGGUCGUGAAAUCCUUCGGCCCAACCGAAGAACGUCGGCCGAUACUGCCGUUCUUGAGGGAUGCAGAGGAGACUGGAAUUCCCGGUGUAGCGGUGAAAUGUGUAGAGAUCGGGAGGAACACCGGCGGCGAAGGCGGGUCUCUGGGCAUUUCCUGACGCUGAGGCGCGAAAGCGUGGGGAGCAAACGGG